CCUACGGGAGGCAGCAGUGAGGAAUAUUGGUCAAUGGCCGAGAGGCUGAACCAGCCAAGUCGCGUGAAGGAAGAAUGUCCUAUGGGUUGUAAACCUCUUUUAUCAGGGAGUAAAGUCACCCACGUGUGGCUGUUUGAGCGUACCUUAAGAACAAGCAUCGGCUAACUCCGUGCCAGCAGCCGCGGUAAUACGGAGGAUGCGAGCGUUAUCCGGAUUUAUUGGGUUUAAAGGGUGCGUAGGCGGAAUGCGAAGUCAGCGGGAAAAUCGCGGGGCUAAACCUCGCUACGCCGUUGAAACUGGCGUUCUUGAGUGGGGGAGAAGUAGGCGGAAUGCGUGGUGUAGCGGUGAAAUGCAUAGAUAUCACGCAGAACUCCGAUUGCGAAGGCAGCAUACUGGAGUCCAACUGACGCUGAAGCACGAAAGCGUGGGUAUCGAACAGGAUUAGAUACCCGGGUAGUC
rnacentral:rRNA from 1 species